UACAGAGGUGGCAAGCGUUGUUCGGAAUUACUGGGCGUAAAGGGCGCGUAGGCGGUUCGUCAAGUCCUGUGUGAAAUCCCCCGGCUCAACUGGGGAACUGCACAGGAAACUAGCGGGCUUGAGUUCGGGAGAGGGAAGCGGAAUUCCGGGUGUAGCGGUGAAAUGCGUAGAUAUCGGGAGGAACACCAGUGGCGAAGGCGACUACCUGGCCUGUUCUUGACGCUGAGGCGCGAAAGCUAGGGGAGCAAACGGG
rnacentral:rRNA from 1 species